AGUCGAACGGAAAGGUCUCUUCGGAGACACUCGAGUGGCGAACGGGUGAGUAACACGUGGGCAAUCUGCCCUGCACACCGGGAUAAGCCUGGGAAACUGGGUCUAAUACCGGAUAGGACCACUUGGCGCAUGCCUUGUGGUGGAAAGCUUUUGCGGUGUGGGAUGGGCCCGCGGCCUAUCAGCUUGUUGGUGGGGUGACGGCCUACCAAGGCGACGACGGGUAGCCGGCCUGAGAGGGUGUCCGGCCACACUGGGACUGAGAUACGGCCCAGACUCCUACGGGAGGCAGCAGUGGGGAAUAUUGCACAAUGGGCGCAAGCCUGAUGCAGCGACGCCGCGUGGGGGAUGACGGCCUUCGGGUUGUAAACCUCUUUCACCAUCGACGAAGGUCCGGGUUCUCUCGGAUUGACGGUAGGUGGAGAAGAAGCACCGGCCAACUACGUGCCAGCAGCCGCGGUAAUACGUAGGGUGCGAGCGUUGUCCGGAAUUACUGGGCGUAAAGAGCUCGUAGGUGGUUUGUCGCGUUGUUCGUGAAAUCUCACGGCUUAACUGUGAGCGUGCGGGCGAUACGGGCAGACUAGAGUACUGCAGGGGAGACUGGAAUUCCUGGUGUAGCGGUGGAAUGCGCAGAUAUCAGGAGGAACACCGGUGGCGAAGGCGGGUCUCUGGGCAGUAACUGACGCUGAGGAGCGAAAGCGUGGGGAGCGAACAGGAUUAGAUACCCUGGUAGUCCACGCCGUAA
rnacentral:rRNA from 1 species